rnacentral:rRNA from 1 species
UCGGGAAUUUUGGGCAAUGGGCGAAAGCCUGACCCAGCAACGCCGCGUGAGGGAUGAAGUAUUUCGGUAUGUAAACCUCGAAAGAAUGGGAAGAAUAAAUGACGGUACCAUUUAUAAGCUCCGGCUAACUACGUGCCAGCAGCCGCGGUAAUACGUAGGGAGCAAGCGUUGUUCGGAUUUACUGGGCGUAAAGGGCGCGUAGGCGGCGCGGUAAGUCACUUGUGAAAUCUCUGAGCUUAACUCAGAACGGCCAAGUGAUACUGCUGUGCUAGAGUGCGGAAGAGGCAACCGGAAUUCUUGGUGUAGCGGUGAAAUGCGUAGAUAUCAAGAGGAACACCUGAGGCGAAGGCGGGUUGCUGGGCCGACACUGACGCUGAUGCGCGAAAGCCA